rnacentral:rRNA from 1 species
UACGUAGGGUGCAAGCGUUAAUCGGAAUUACUGGGCGUAAAGCGUGCGCAGGCGGUUAUGCAAGACAGACGUGAAAUCCCCGAGCUCAACCUGGGAACUGCAUUUGUGACUGCAUGGCUAGAGUACGGUAGAGGGGGAUGGAAUUCCGCGUGUAGCAGUGAAAUGCGUAGAUAUGCGGAGGAACACCGAUGGCGAAGGCAAUCCCCUGGACCUGUACUGACGCUCAUGCACGAAAGCGUGGGGAGCAAACAGG